UGGGGAAUAUUGCACAAUGGGCGAAAGCCUGAUGCAGCGACGCCGCGUGAGGGAUGACGGCCUUCGGGUUGUAAACCUCUUUCAGCAGGGAAGAAGCGAAAGUGACGGUACCUGCAGAAGAAGCGCCGGCUAACUACGUGCCAGCAGCCGCGGUAAUAGCGUAGGGCGCAAGCGUUGUCCGGAAUUAUUGGGCGUAAAGAGCUCGUAGGCGGUUAGUCGCGUCUGCAUGUGAAAACUCGAGGCUCAACCUCGGGACUUGCAGUGGGUACGGGCUGACUAGAGUGCGGUAGGGGUGACUGGAAUUCCUGGUGUAGCGGUGGAAUGCGCAGAUAUCAGGAGGAACACCGAUGGCGAAGGCAGGUCACUGGGCCGCAACUGACGCUGAGGAGCGAAAGCAUGGGGAGCGAACAGGAUUAGAUACCCUGGUAGUCCAUGCCGUAAACGUUGGGCACUAGGUGUGGGGUCCA
rnacentral:rRNA from 1 species